rnacentral:rRNA from 1 species
CGUCUUUAGAUUUAUUUAUUAAAGAUCCUUCCUGCCCAGUGACUUUAGUUCAACGGCCGCGGUAUCCUGACCGUGCAAAGGUAGCAUAAUCAUUUGCCUCUUAAUUGGGGGCUUGUAUGAAUGGAUAAACGAGGUUUCAACUGUCUUAUAUUUAAUUCUAAAAUCUAAAUUUUAGGUGAAGAUGCCUAAAUUCUUCAGAAAGACAAGAAGACCCUAUAGAGUUUAAAUUUUUAUUUAUAUCCCUUAUAAUUUAAAAUUUUAGUUGGGGCGACUUAGGAUUUUAAUAAACAUCCUUAAUAUAAAUGAAAUAUAUUUCUAUAAUAUUGACCCUCUAGGAUUAUUAAAAUAAACUACCUUAGGGAUAACAGGCUUAUCUUCCUAGAGAGUCCUAAUCGAUAGGAAGGUUUGGCACCUCGAUGUUGGCUUAGAGAAGCUCAUUAUUGCAGCAAAUAAUGAAAGCUAGUUUGUUCAACUAUUAAAUCUCU